UACGGAGGGAGCUAGCGUUGUUCGGAAUUACUGGGCGUAAAGCGCGCGUAGGUGGCUUUGUAAGUUAGAGGUGAAAGCCCGGGGCUCAACUCCAGAACUGCCUUUGAUACUGAAGAUCUUGAGUUCGGGAGAGGUGAGUGGAACUGCGAGUGUAGAGGUGAAAUUCGUAGAUAUUCGCAAGAACACCAGUGGCGAAGGCGGCUCACUGGCCCGAUACUGACGCUGAGGCACGAAAGCGUGGGGAGCAAACAGG
rnacentral:rRNA from 1 species